GGUUGUGCCUUGAUUAGCGUCAAUUCACAUCUAGCUAGGUGUAUUCUACACCAGUAUGUGCUUAUUACUUACCCGAUCUCGGCAUUACAAUUGCGCAGCGAUAAUGGAAUUGUAAUGCAUUACUCUAACCGUUGCACAGCAAUUGCUUGGCGUAUUCUCACCCACAGCCGGAUGCACAUAGCAGAAUCGUGUAUUACAAUUGCAGGUGGCUGUCAAGUGCAGGCCAUUGACCGAGGACGAGCAGCGGCGCUCGCGGCAUAUCAUUCAGGUCAUUGAUGAUAAGACUGUGGUUGUGCUGGACCCCGAUCUGUCAAAGGAUUACCUGGACCUCAUACAGAACCGGACGAAGGAGAGGAGAUGCACAUUUGAUCAAGUGUACCCACCCGGAUGCUCCAAUUCGGUCCAGCUCCAACACUCAUGGUGGCGGCCGCCUACACCACAUGCCGACGAGCACGGUGCAACAGCCACGACUGCGCCUUUUGGAUCCUUUUCCGUAUGUGCGGCAGGCGUUCGAGGCCGCAGUAUGCACUCGCCGUUAGGAUAUUACAGACCGCUGCAGUCCUCCAUGAACUAUUACGUGCUAAAUAACUGCUUCAAGACAUUGUUCCACUCUACCUGUGUACACUACACCAAUCCGGAUUUACAUUGGGGGCUUCAACUUUUCUUGGCGGGUGCAAUUCAGCCGCCAAGGAAUAUAACAUUUCCUUGGCGGUAACAUUGAACAACCAAAAAAUAUAUUUUCUUGGCUAUUUUUGUGAGCCGCCAAGAAAAAUAUGUAUUUCCUUGGCUGUUUGGCCGAGUCGCCAAGAAAAUGGUGUCUUUCCUU